rnacentral:ncRNA from 2 species
UAAAAAAUUGGAUGCGAUGAAGAAAUGGGUACUAUGUGGGCACUUAACCAUUUCGGAGCAAGUAGUGCAACCGGCCGGACGAAUC